GGGGCAGUAGUUCAGUGGUAGAACGUCGGUCUCCAAAACCGAAUGUCGUGGGUUCAAGUCCUGCCUGCCCCG
rnacentral:tRNA from 1 species